rnacentral:rRNA from 1 species
GGUUAACUGGCGGCAGCUUACACAUGCAGUCCAACGGUAGCAAAAGGAGCUUGCUCCUUGGGUGACGAGUGGCGGACGGGUGAGUAAUGCUUGGGAAUCUGGCUUAUGGAGGGGGAUAACUACUGGAAACGGUAGCUAAUACCGCGUAAUGUCUACGGACUAAAGGGUGGGACCUUCGGGCCACCUGCCAUAAAAUGAGCCCAAGUGGGAUUAGGUAGUUGGUGAGGUAACGGCUCACCAAGCCCGCGAUCUCUAGCUGGUCUGAGAGGAUGACCAGCCACACUGGAACUGAGACACGGUCCAGACUCCUACGGGAGGCAGCAGUGGGGAAUAUUGCACAAUGGGGGGAACCCUGAUGCAGCCAUGCCGCGUGAAUGAAGAAGGCCUUCGGGUUGUAAAGUUCUUUCGGUGACGAGGAAGGCGAUUGUUUUAAUAGAACAAUCGAUUGACGUUAAUCACAGAAGAAGCACCGGCUAACUCCGUGCCAGCAGCCGCGGUAAU